rnacentral:lncRNA from 1 species
GUAUACAAAUUGCUUUUGUUGCAUCUCUGCAAUCAUUUAAUCAAGAAAUCAUCCUUAGUUAACCUCCAUGGCACAAAAACCAAAUUGAUUUCGGGACCUUAGACUCAUCCUAUGUUGCAUGAUAUGAGCAUGAGGAAGAUAAUGGUUUCCAAAUGCAAAAACUAAUAACAUGAUCCAUCAAGAAGCAUACAAAUCCUAAAUUACACAUAAAUCUGACAUGAUGAAGCAAUGCACUAAUAGACAAAUGGGCUAUGAGCCAAGGGUCAAGGUUUAAAAAAACGGAAACGAGUUUCGAGGCGUUUUCCCUUCGCCUC